ensembl:misc_RNA 7SK 7SK RNA
GCUUAUGAGGGAGAUCUGGCUAUGACAUUUGUCAUCGCAUUGGUCACCAAGGUUGAUUCAGAUGAUCUGGCUGGCUAGGUGGGUGUCCCCUUCUUCCCUCACUGCUCCAUGCGCAUCUCUCCUGAAGCUGCGAGCUCAUUCGCUGACUAGGUCAAAGAGGACGGCCACUAUGCUAGAGAAGGACUGUUUCCUCGGUCAAAGGUAAAGGAGUAGCUGCACUCCCCUGAUAGAACUUCCAGACAAGCUCUCUAGUCAGAGCACAAAGAAGAGUGAGCAGGAGCUGGUGGCACCAGCU